CCUACGGGUAGCAGCAGUGGGGAAUAUUGGGCAAUGGGCGCAAGCCUGACCCAGCAACGCCGCGUGAAGGAAGAAGGCUUUCGGGUUGUAAACUUCUUUUAUCAGGGACGAAGCAAGUGACGGUACCUGAUGAAUAAGCUACGGCUAAAUCCGCGACAGCAGCCGCGGGAAUACGUAUGGGGCAAGCGUGAUCCGGAUUUACUGGGUGUACAGGGCGUGUAGGCGGGAGUGCAAGUCAGAUGUGAAAACCAUGGGCUCAACCCAUAGACUGCAUGUGAAACUGUACUUCUUGAGUGCAGGAGAGGCAGUCGGAAUUCCGUGGGUAGCGGUGAAAGGCGUAGAUACACGGAGGAACACCAGUGGCGAAGGCGGAUUGCUGGACAGUAACUGACGCUGAGGCGCGAAAGCGUGGGGAGCAAACAGGAGUAGAUACCCGUGUAGUC
rnacentral:rRNA from 1 species